rnacentral:rRNA from 1 species
GUGGCGAACGGGUGAGUAACACGUGAGCAAUCUGCCCUUGACUCUGGGAUAACUGCGGGAAACUGUAGCUAAUACCGGAUACUUUCCUCGCUGGGCAUCCAGCGGGGAAGAAAGAAUUUCGGUCAAGGAUGAGCUCGCGGCCUAUCAGCUAGUUGGUGGGGUAAUGGCUCACCAAGGCGACGACGGGUAGCCGGCCUGAGAGGGUGACCGGCCACACUGGAACUGAGACACGGUCCAGACUCCUACGGGAGGCAGCAGUGGGGAAUAUUGCACAAUGGGCGAAAGCCUGAUGCAGCAACGCCGCGUGAGGGAUGAAGGCCUUCGGGUUGUAAACCUCUUUUAGCAGGGAAGAAGCGAAAGUGACGGUACCUGCAGAAAAAGCACCGGCUAACUACGUGCCAGCAGCCGCGGUAAUACGUAGGGUGCAAGCGUUGUCCGGAAUUAUUGGGCAUAAAGAGCUCGUAGGCGGUUUGUCACGUCUGCUGUGAAAAUCCGAGGCUCAACCUCGGACUUGCAGUGGGUACGGGCAGGCUAGAGUGCGGUAGGGGAGAAGGGAAUUCCUGGUGUAGCGGUGGAAUGCGCAGAUAUCAGGAGGAACACCAAUGGCGAAGGCACUUCUCUGGGCCGUAACUGACGCUGAGGAGCGAAAGCGUGGGGAGCGAACAGGAUUAGAUACCCUGGUAGUCCAC